AGUGUCGCAAGGCAUCGCUUAGUAUUUUAUUGCUUUUAGAUGUAGUAAUUGGGUAAAACUGGUUGCGAAACCUAAGGGAUCACAGUAAAGUAUUAAGUGGGGUUCCAGUUCAUUUACUUUGAGUAAAUUAGAGUGUUCAAAGCAGCCUGUAUGGGCAUUGAAUAGAUUAGCAUGGGAUAAUAGAAUAGGAUUCUUGUCUAUUUAUUGGUUUAUAGGUUUAGAAUAAUGAUUAAUAGGGAUAGUUGGGGGCACUUGUAUUCAAUAGUCAGAGGUGAAAUUCUAGGAUUUAUUGAAGACAAAACUUCAGCGAAAGCAUUUGCCAAGGAUGUUUUCAUUAAUCAAGAACGAAAGUUAGGGGAUCGAAGACGAUUAGACACCGUCGUAGUCUUAACUAUAAACUAUGCCGACCAGGU
rnacentral:rRNA from 1 species